UACGGAGGGUGCAAGCGUUAUCCGGAUUCACUGGGUUUAAAGGGUGCGUAGGUGGGUUGGUAAGUCCGUGGUGAAAUCUCCGAGCUUAGCUCGGAAACUGCCGUGGAUACUAUCAAUUUUGAAUACUGUGGAGGUAAGCGGAAUAUGUCAUGUAGCGGUGAAAUGCUUAGAUAUGACAUAGAACACCGAUAGCGGAGGCAGCUUGCUACACAGUCAUUGACACUGAGGCACGAAAGCGUGGGGAUCAAACAGG
rnacentral:rRNA from 1 species